UGAACCUGAUCCCGGGGGGAGGGUUCGGAUCAAGAUGGAGGAACCCCGUGCUGUGGUAUCAUUAAAGGUCUGUUCUAUUCCUUGUUCAUAGUUGUCGUUGUUCAUUGCAGAACCUAAACUACUGGUGUAAGAAAUGGUGAAUGGGGAAGAUUGGAUUGAUCUGCUUGAAGAUAAGGAAAGCGAAAGGUUUCAGAAAUGUCUCCAUGAAGAUAAAAACCUUGUUCAUGUUGCCCAUGACCUGAUCCAGAAACUCUCCCCAAACACCAGCAAUGUCCAUGCCAUAUUCUUCAAAAACUGUCUUCAAAGACAAGCAAGUUCUCCAUGCGGGGUCAAACAGAUGUUGCAAAAGAGGGACAACUCAGUGGCUCUGCUGUAGCUCACAUGGAAAUCAAAGGGUGCAGCACUUGAGCAUCCACAUCACAGCAGGAUGGGUUGAGGUGCAGGUGAACUCUCGUGAGGAGUUACUUUCAAGGGCAGUAAAGUAGUCAUGUCAGAGCCUCCAAAGAGGAAUACUACAGCAAAUUCAUAAGGGGCACUUAGGUAUUGAGAAAUGCAAGAAGUGAGCAAGAGAGGUGAUGUAUUGGCCAAGGAUCAAUCAGGACAUUGGUAACAGAGUUAAAACCUGUUUCACCUGCUUGAAAUUCAGACCGUACCAGCAGGCCAAAGCACUAAAGCCUCACCCUGUUCCACACAGGGCCUAUGAGAAAGUGGGCACUGAUCUAUUUAUGCGGAACUCCAGAGUGUAUUUACUAGUUACUGAUUAUUACUCCUUGUAUCCGGAAAUCUGUACACUGCAAUGUACCAGCCGACACUCAGCGAUAGCUUGCUUGAAGGCCAUAUUUGCAAGGCAUGGAAUUCUAGAUGAAGUAUUCAGCAAUAAUGGGCCCCAGUUCUCCAGUGCAGUUUAGGCAAUUUGCCAUGGACUUGGAUUUUUGUCACAGCAAGUCAAGUCCAAAUUAUCCCCAAUCAAAUGACAUUGCAGAAUGAUCACUUCAGAUGGUGAAAAACCUAAUGAAAAAAGCAUUGGACAGUGGAGGUGAUUUAUAUAAAGCACUACUGGCUUAUAGUAGCACACCUACCUGUAAGAGGUCGGUGGUGUGCUGCCUGGAGCCAAGUUGUCUCUCUGCUGGAAUAGUAGCGUUCUGUCCCUUCGAAAGAUCGCCUAACAUGCCGUGUUAGAGAGAGAGGUGCCAAAACACUUUUGGGAAACAAAAAGGGUCGGUUAAAGGCUUAAGAGGUCGGCUUAUCUUCAUAGGGCUCCACCAUCCCCAUCCCCUGCCCUAACCACACCAGAUGUUCCGGGUGUGUUGUUGCUCACCUGUAGUACUGAGGAUCCGGUCUCACUCAUAUGGACCCCUUUGCCAAGGAUCCCCCUCUGAAGUUAGCUGCUUUCCCCGUUCUUCCCUGUACAGGUCCCAAGACAGCCACUUCUUAGUUCUAAUCCCACCCAUAUCUUCAGGCUCAGGAUGGAUUUACCCCCUCCUUGGGUGUAAUCUCAUAUGUGUCUCUGUUCUCCUCUAGGUUCCUGAAGCGGUUACCUUCAACCCUCAGGACUGGAAUCACUGACAGAGCAGUCUUCUCCAUCUCUUCACUGGCUCUCGCCAACAGAGCAGCCUCUUCUAUCUCUUUGCUGGCUUUCAUCAGCGCAGCUUUUUUUCUCUUUUUUGGCCACGCCGUUCUCCCGAUCUGAAGCUUGAACCCUAGCAGCUGGGUUUGCUGCGACAACCUUUGAUCUGCCGCAGCCCAGCUGGUUCCCUAAUUAGUCAGCGCGUGGCGUCUUUCUUGCCCUGUCUCAUCAUGGUUUCCUCGGCGUCUCUAGCUCUCGGACAUCAGCAGAAGAUAUGGUCUUGGAUCAGUCUCAGUUAACUGUUCCUCCUCAUCAUCCUCAGAAGGUGAAGAUACUAAUGAUGCAACAGAGAGCCCCCAAAACCCUAAUGAGGAGCAGAUACCCCAGGGAUCCAGGAGACAGCUCUGCAGAUGCAGGACCUGUAUCUGGCUGUGCAGCUCAUGGCCACUCAAGUCACUAAGGAUAUUUCAACAAGCCUUGGGGAAGCCAUUGUAGAAAGGAGAUGACAGCUGCAGGUGUACCCUGUCCCCUAUUCUUUCUGCAUUUUGUGUUGGGUGCCUGAGGCUGUGCACAACGAGAGAGAGAGAGAGAGAGAGAGAGAAUAAACCAUGUUCUGUGCUCCUCUGGUUGCUGUUGCGUCUCUCCUCCCAAAAGCAGCAGAGAGGAGGGUGAAGUGUGCAUCUGCUUGGUUUGGACUUUAUAGUCAGGUUUGGGUAUCUUGUGUUUUGGUGGGGUGUGUGGGCGCUGCUACAGAGGGGACAGGUUUUACCACAUGUUAACCAGGAAGUGGGCCUCUCCCAGGCACACAGGCUAAGACAAUCAGGCUAGGUACAAGGGCACUGACAGAAGUGAUGUUUUGUUGUGCAACUGGCCACUGAAAGCAGUCUAAAGCCAUGCACUGACAGCAGUGCACAGCCGCAGACUCUUUAAAAAGGGUCCGAUUGUGUGACAUACGAACACAAGAAAGUGAAAUACAACGUCCUAGGUUCCUGGGAGCUUCUCAAGUCAAAGCACUACAGACACAGGCCAUUUCUUGAAAGUUUUGCUGUCAGUGCCUGUCAGCUUUCACCUGUUAAUACUACUAUGUUACUUAAGCAUAUGCACACUUCCCCGCUUCUCUGGUACCCACAUUCUCAUUUUAAGCAGUUGUAUCAGUGGAAGAUGAUGAUCAUGGGUGGGUUUCUAGCUGCUGCCAUUUCUAUGUUGCUGGACCACAUCCAUGUUGGCACUUUGCUAGUGACAUAUGGUGGCUGAGGACUUGUGUCUCUUAGGGAAGCGGAUUUAUUAAAGCAACAGAAAGGCUGCGCUUUGCCAGGCUAUGCCAAAUGUGCAUGCACUGAUGCAUGUAAAUUGGUGGAGAAGAAAAGGCAGCUUCUGUUGCCAAAACUUUGUAGAACAAGCCCUGAAAAAGUAAGCUUUGCAUCUCAUUUUCACAUAGCAGUGAAGUGCAUUCUGUGUAAUCUCAUAUCAUAUGAGGUUACUCAUUGCUGCAUGCUGACUUGAAGUUCUGCGUUUCUUGGCCAAUCAGAAUCAAAUCAAGCAGAAGAAGCAGAACUGAGACCCCAGGGACGGCCAUGACACCCCCUCGGUGGCCAAGUGCCUGUUGUCCCACUCUGGCUCCUUGGGGUACCCUCCCAUUUUACUGUGCCUGCCAAAGCUUGAUGUAACUAAUAAUACUUAGGGAGACUGCCUCAGGGCCCCAAAGUGAGCCUUAGUCUCUCAGCUAUUUAUUGUCUCAAGUGCCUAGCUGGCAUCCAUCUUACUCCUCCGACUCGUGGCCCUUUGGCCCUAUCUGCCUUAGGGCACAAGCCACCUUAGGGCCCAUAAUUAUUGCCUUUGUCCUCCCCUGCAACCACCCCAUGCCUUGCAGAUGUUAUUCUGACCACAUUCUGGACCUUCCUGUAGGAGCCUUUGCCUUCCUGGCUUUAGGCCACUGUUAUUCUGGCUGCAAGCCCACCUGUUCCAGUUUAAUUUUUUUGGCCUCAGCCCUCUCUGUAUCUCGGUCUGGCCUCAUUCUGCUCCAACUCUCAGUCUCUGGGCCCUUAGCUCAGGCAAGGCUGUUCUCAGGUUAACUCAGACCCCUGACAACCCUGGUCCACGGCAGGGCUGCUCAUAGCCUAACCCAGGCCUCUGGCAUCCCCAACCUCAGGCAAGGCUGCUCCCACUUUGCUGGCCCCUGGCACUUUAACUGGGCUCUGCCCCCUCAGUCUCUGACUCUCUGGGGCUGCUAUCUCCAGCCUCUGGCCCCAUGCUGUCACAGUGACACCGCUACUGGUGUCUCCAUGGAAGCUGGCCACAGUGACACAGGCAGGGGCUGCUGGCAAUUAGAGUCUAGCCACCAGCCAGAUCCACCAUUUUGCCCACCCUUGCUCCAAACACUAGGUUUAUAUGCCUCUAAGCACUGCUCCUUCUAGUCAGGUGGCUCCUCAGUUACCUGCAGGUUUUUCUCCUUUGCUUAAUGGCCAGCCCACCCUCUGCUGCAGCCCAAAUAGGGUUGCCAACUCUGUCUGAAUCUCUUCUGAAAUGUUUCAUCACAUGAUGCAGUGACAUUAAUGACUGAUCUGCUGUACUGUACUCAGGAAGGCAAAAGCACAUUGCUAUUAGAUUUUAAAAACACACUGUCCUACUGUAUAAACUGGAUUCAACAUUUAAUAUUUAUGUUAAUGAAUGCCCUAUCAUUUAGCUCCCGGGUGACUCUCGGUAGUCUCCUGGAGAGUAUAUCUAACUCCUGGAGACUCCAGGGCAAUCCUGGAGGGUUGGCAACCCUCAGCCCCACACAGCAAGCUUGCUGCAGUGCAGCUAGCUUUUUGCUCAGCUGCCUGCCUAUCCAGGAAGGCUAGCCCCAGGGGCCAUUGGCUCCCCGUUCCAGUAGACCACUUGUUUUGGCUUUUUUUUGGGUGAUGGCGAGGGAUUGGUAUUUUCUCUGGGCAUGCUAUGCAAGGCAGUUAUGUUUCAGACCCAGGCCUUGGUGAUUCCAUAUGAAUAAUGUAUGUUAGGGGUAUCAAAGAUACAGCCCAAUGCUGCCACUGAGUCUGGCUCUGGCCUGCCAAAAGUCCCAGUCUGGAUCUGACCCAGAGAGCUUGAUGAAUUUGAUACUCCUGUUUAUACAAGUACUACAGAUGGUCUUUGUGCUAAAUGGUAAAAAUAAAGGUAGUUGGGAAGUUGCUUUUAUUUCCAUUACAUAAACAAACAAAAAAGUUGUGUUGCUGUCAUUUUUUCUCUCUUCCCAAAUUUUAGGGGUUUCAUUAGAGAAAGAUCUGAAAACUCAAGGUUGUUAAUGAUUUAAAAGUUACUUUUGUUUUUUUCAGCCAAAAAAGUUACUGGGGAAAAGUAAGGCAAGUGGUAUACCUCUGGCAACUGAGAGUUCCUGGGAUCAAAGUG